rnacentral:lncRNA from 1 species
UUUUUUUUUUUUUGCGUUUAAUUAUAACUUACAAUGUCUUACUUUUAUGCUUAUUUAUUUAAAAUAUUAUUUAAAAAAUAACGAUCGUCGUGCAACGCACGGGUGGGUGUACUAGUUAGAUGAGCAAACGAAUUAAAUCUACUGAUUUAAUUUAAAAUUAUUUUACAGUCCAUCGAUAUUAAUAUCGAGCAGAUACAUCGUCACACACAUUACAAUAUUCAGAUUUAGAACUUCCAAAACACAAGGAUUUUAUUUCAUAUAUCCACCACAAUUUUUACAACCUAUCUAUUACAAUUAUCUCACAAGUUCCUAACCCACAAUUUUUUUACACCAUCUGCCAUCAAUGAGAAAAAAAAGAAAGCAAAGAAGGAAAAAAAAUGGGGGGAUAAGAGGCGUGCUGUUACAGCUGCAGCUGCAGCCCCUUCCCUCCUAUCCCCUCCUCCCUACACCCUACCCCUACUCCUUAGCAUGCUCCAGCAGCCGCCCAACUGUUCCAAUUCCCCUGCCACUACACCCUACCACCUACUUAGCACAAUCAAGUGCAAGCAACCCUUUGCCUUCUCUUUAGUCUCUAAUACCAGCCAACAUCAAACUCCAGCCAACAAUUUCUUCACACUCUUCACUUAAGGAUUCCAAGAAUAGCAGAAAUCUGCAUUCCCUACUCUGCUGCCAACAUUCAAGUUUUUCCAGUCCAAAAAUACCUUAACAACCAAAGAAACAAGGGGGAGCAUUUAUUCACUGCCCUGCGGCCAUCUUAAGGUGAGUUUUGGCUACAUUCUUCCAUCUUAUACCUAGCAUCACCUGCAUAUAUAUUGAAAAGACAAAAACUGCUAAAUUAUUUCAGCCAUUCCAGUUCGUUAAACUCAGCGACAGCGACAAACAGCCAACCAACAUUCAUUCUCAAGGUAUUAAUUCUAUUUCAGAUAUCCAUUCUAGUAAGCAUUCAUACCAAGCAUAAUCAGUUCCAGAUGAUAUAAGACUCACAUAAGCAUGAUAGACAUAACAGACGCAGACUUUAUCAUAUAGAACACCAACCUACUAUUGUUUGAACAAGUAGUCAAUAAGAAAUUCGAGUCAAACGAGCAUAGUAUGAGUCACAUGCGAAUGAGAGUUUAGACUGCAUCUGUUUAUAUUUUGUCGUUGAGAACCGAAAAGGAAAAGAAGGAGCAAGAUGUCUACUUAGCUUUAGGAAGGAGUGGGCGACUGCCCUGCUUCGAAUCGGGAAGACGGCGCGACGACGGAGCCUCCAUUGACGUCGGAACUAAAGAGUCGCAGGAGGUGGCAGACAUCGCCUACUCGCUGGAAUCGUACAACGGCAACGACCGGGACGAUUCUGACUUAGGCAUUUAGGACUUCCUUUUUCUCACCCCCUUCUUUCGGCUUGUGAGAUACGAUGGAGAGAGAGAGGACGGAUGGACGGCGACUGUAAAUCGCCGGGUUUACAGAACGCCGGGGCGCCGAGCAGAGAGGGAGACGGUUCAAAAUCAAAGGGGGAAAUUAGGGCUGCUCGUUUGGGGAUCCCCCAUUAAAUUGAGGAAGGAGGGAGGACGAACGAAGGCGGCGGCCUCAGAGACGCAGACGACGGCCGUUCGCCGGACACCCAAUUGCAGCGGCGACGGCGACCUUCAAUUCGUGAAUUAGGGCUCGCUCUCCUCGCCUCGGACGAUGUCACGACCAGACCUAAUUAAGGAUAAUUAAGUCGGGGAAACCAUGACUAAGGGAGGGAGAUUAGAAGCGGGAAUAGAAAGGGGUGAAUAAAUAAUGAAGGCUCGAAAUCAAAUCAUUGUUAAGGAGGGACAAUCAUAAGAUAACUGUUGUUUAGUCGCAAGGACUCGAUUAACUCGUAAGUUCGGAUGAACCCGACUUAGCUUAAAGACAUAUUACUUGAGAGUAUGCAGCGGAAUAACAUAAUCUGAUUACAUGUAUGAAGACAUGUAUCCAAGAGUCCAUUUAUUAAACUUAUGACAAAAGCUCCGCUCAUCACUUCAUCUUCAUCAGCCAUUGCUCAACCUGCACAUUUAGAAAUAUAUGCAGGGCUGAGUACAAAAGUACUCAGUGGGCACGUAUGCCUAAGUAUAAAAAUACAUGCUUCAAAAACUGUAAAUUGUCAUGCCAUCAUAAACAGUACAGCAAGGGAGUUUUUCGCUAAAAGGCCCAAGCUUACUAAAUUCAUUUGUGAUUCUUAAAGUUGGUCUGCAGACUAAGUUCUCUUGUAAUCUAUCAUAUCUGGAACUGUGUGCCGGAGAGGUGGCCACCUCUCACGGUCACUUGACCGGCCAACCCGCUAGAUGACUCACGGUCAUUGGUGUACACUAGCCCUGGCAGGAUAGCUAUCAACUGCUCAGGACCCGAAUUCGAUUGC